CGAUUCGGUAUAAAUCGGCUGGACUCAACCAUCUCCGGCCGUCGUCCCGGGGCCUUCAGUUGUUCUUCUCGUCGGUGUUGGAAACAGAAAUCGGGAAAGGAGAUCCAAAUCGGUUUCAAAAUCAGGUCGAUUUGUUUGAAAUCAGAGCUUGGGGAGAAGCAAUCGAGAGUAGAAGUGGUUCUGAGUUGGAUUGGUUCUGCUACAUAUGGGGAUUGAGAGAGGAGCAGACAGUGUAAGAAGAUCCGGCCAUAGAUUGAAUCCGGUCUGGGGAUGCCAAGGCUGUAUCAAAUGCUUUGACUACAUAUGAGGAUUGAGGUAGGAGAAGAGAAGUCAGAGGAGGCCAGUGAAUGAAUGGGCAGGAGUGGUUAUCUACUAUGAUAAGAGAAGAGAAGUCAGAGUAGAGCCUUGAAUCCUGGACCAUUCACGGGUGUUGUUUUAGAAGAAGAAAACAACAAGUAUGCAUUGGCAGAUGAUGGUGGUGAUAAGACCAUUUUCUUGUGAUAUUAGUAACACAAAUUUCUAUUUUCACUACGAUCGGUUAUUAUCUUUCACUUUCUCUUCACACCAAUUUCUAUUUUUCUACGAACAACACCACUUUCUUAUUUUGCUACCAACAACUCUUUCUUAUUUUUC